GGAUCUCUUGGUUCUCGCAUCGAUGAAGAACGCAGCGAAAUGCGAUAAGUAAUGUGAAUUGCAGAAUUCAGUGAAUCAUCGAAUCUUUGAACGCACAUUGCGCCCUUUGGUAUUCCAUAGGGCAUGCCUGUUCGAGCGUCACUAACAAUCCCAUCAUACAAGAGUGUGGUAUUGGCAGAAGUGGGUAGGGCUAGCAGUGCUGGUCCCACUCUGCUUGAAUGAAUAGGCCGGAAAUGCAGACCAUGGCAACAAACUUUCAAAGUAUUUUGAAAUGCUAAAUUAGUUUGGAGCUGGUCAGAAUCCAGGCCAUUGGACCCCCAUUCUGUGUAAAGCAGUAAUGUUGACCUCGGAUCAGGUAGGGAUACCCGCUGAACUUAAGCAUAUCAAUAAGCGGAGGAAAAGAAACCAACAGGGAUUGCCUUAGUAACGGCGAGUGAAGCGGCAAAAGCUCAAAUUUGAAAUCUGACACCUCCGGUGUUCGAGUUGUAAUUUGGAGAGGCAUCUUCUGGAGGGGCCCAGCCUAUGUGCCUUGGAACAGGACGUCAUAGA
rnacentral:rRNA from 1 species